CCUACGGGGGGCAGCAGUGAGGACUAUUGCGCAAUGGGGGAAACCCUGAUGCAGCGACGCCUCGUGUGGGAAGACGGUCCUCUGGAUUGUAAACCACUGUCCCCCGGGACGAAGAUGACGGUACCUGGGGAGGAAGCUCCGGCUAACUACGUGCCAGCAGCCGCGGUAAUACGUAGGGGGCGAGCGUUAUCCGGAUUCACUGGGUGUAAAGGGAGCGUAGACGGCCAUGCAAGCCAGGGGUGAAAGCCCGGGGCGCAACCCCGGGACUGCCCUUGGAACUGUGCGGCUAGAGUGCGGGAGGGGCAGGCGGAAUUCCUGGUGUAGCGGUGAAAUGCGUAGAUAUCAGGAGGAACACCGGCGGCGAAGGCGGCCUGCUGGACUGCGACUGACGUUGAGGCUCGAAAGCGUGGGGAGCGAACAGGAUUAGAUACCCGUGUAGUC
rnacentral:rRNA from 1 species